rnacentral:lncRNA from 1 species
UAUACUUUAUCAUUCUCCUACAUUUUCUCUUAUUCUUCUAACUGCUCUUUUCUUUGUGUGCUUGUCCAAGCAAGAAUUUAAGGCUGACUUAGGCCUUUCAUGAACAAUUAAGGAAGUUCUUUUGAGCAACAAGAAGUUGAAGGAGUGCUCGUCCCAUAGUCAGAUUUGAUUAGAGUAGACCUGGAUGAGGUAGUCAAUCUUGAUAUUAAAGGUAAAAACAUCUUACCUCUAACUUCUAUUAAUAUCAUGAAUAUCGUAUUUGUUGCUACUGUAAUACCUAUAGCCCGGCUAACAACGGGAUGUUAUGAAAAAAAAGACACACUUAAAUGACACAAUUAUAAGUAGCAUACUAUUCAAAUUCACAAACAAUUAAUAAAUAAUCACAAAUAUGGUAGAAAUUUCAUCAGAUAUAUAUGUUCAAAUAAUCCAAAUAAAAUAACUAGUAUAGAUUGCAUAAUCACUAGAGUUGUCCAAAAAUAAAAAUAAUAAUACCUGAAUAUUCGGUUUGAUAGCCUGCUACUAAUUCUUCUUCCGUUUCUGGUAAAUCAAAUAUUUUAUUUAUUAGUUCCAUUCUCAAUAAGUAAUAUAUUUUAAAGUUGUGAUCUGUAUAUUAAAUAUAGUUCUAAUUAUUGGCAAAGAAAAACAAAACAAAGAACUAUGGUAAAGAAAAAGUUAUUUGCUAUGUUAAAAAAGAUGGAAAAUAAGCAAAUGACAGUAAAAUAAACAAAAUAAAAUAAAAACAGGAUUUAUAAAACUGAUAACAAGAGCUUUAUUUUCCGCCUGAUCUAAGAACAGUGAACGAAUGAAAACAGAUUUGCAUGCAGUACAUUACAUGCAUGCAAAACCAUUAAAACCCUCCAUGAAAGGGCAUGUCAUUUGUCGAAGCUUAAAAGAGGAAGCAUCCGGCGACGGCGGCUACACCACCAACGACGGCUGAGGCCUUGACAAUAGCGGCACCGG